rnacentral:rRNA from 1 species
GACGAACGCUGGCGGCGUGCUUAACACAUGCAAGUCGAACGGAAAGGCCCUACGUUUGUGGGUUUCUCGAUUGGCGAACGGGUGAGUAACACGUGAGUAACCUGCCCUUGACUGUGGGAGAACUUCAGGAAACUGGGGCGAAUAUCGGGGAGGAUCUCCUGCUGCAUGUGGGGGGUAGGAGAGAUUCGGCGGUGGUGGAUGUACUCGCGGCUUAUCAGCUUGUUGGUGGGGUAGUUGCGUACCAAGGCUUUGACGGGUAGCCGGCCUGAGAGGGUGACCGGCCACAUUGGGACUGAGAUACGGCCCAGACUCCUACGGGCGGCAGCAGUGGGGAAUAUUGCACAAUGGGCGGAAGCCUGAUGCAGAAACGCCGCGUGCGGGAUGCCGGCCUUCGGGUUGUAAACCGCUUUCGCCUGUGACGAAGCGUGAGUGACGGUAAUGGGUAAAGAAGCACCGGCUAACUACGUG